CGGCAAGAGCCGUGAGCAUAUGGCUGGAAGAUUUUAGGUGUGGUGCUCACCGGAGGCCCAGUCAGCUAUGGCUAGGGUGCAGACGAGGCUUGUUCCUGGCUCCCCAGGGGAGGAGGCGGACUAUAGGGGAGGCACCCCCUGAGACGUUCCAGGGCUCCUUAGGCCACCCCUUGCCAGAGGAGAGCAGAUGGACUCCCGGCAUGCUCCAUCAAAUUAUUCUUCCGAGUCCCUGGUCCUGCUCCACGGAGAAGAUUUUUAGGAAAAAAGGCUCCUCCGAGCUGCCUAGACCAAAUUUAAAAUCUCACCAUAGCUCUGGUUGACAAAAAAUAAAUCUCUGCCUCCAAACAUUCUCUGGCCUGAUAGGUGAACUUCAGCCUCAGGAUGCUGGAGAUGGUUGAGUCCUGCAUAAUCAAGAAUCUUGUGAGAAAGUAUUUUCUUCUGAUGCAAGAGAAAGUGUAAACACCCUCAAGUGUUCAGUUACCUGUCUUUGUGGACAACAGAAAAUUAAAACAACAAAACUGCUUUCUUUCUAUACAGAGAAACAACUAAUGAAUUAAAAUUAAACACAUGCAAAUCAUUAGACAUAAUUGAGCCAACACAAAAUGGGUUCUGGUAGAAAUUUAUGUCAUUUUUUACAGAAUGAAAUUGGAAAAAAGAUACCAUUGUGUAUGAGGAAUUUUUGAAAGCUAUUGCUGUUUAGAGGAAGAAAUGAAAAUAAGGCUGUAACAUCCUCUCAGUGUCAUCUGUUAAGAGAAUUGACCUUUAACUCAUGGCAGGUGAGAAAUGGCUGAGACUCAGGCUAAGGCACUUCUAAACACACACACACAUCUUCUCCUUGCUACUCUGGGUUUAACCUCAACCCCAGACCUCAUUUUAGAAAGUCAAGAGACAACAGCCAGAAGCAAGCAAACAAAUGUGUAGAGAGUUAAAGAGUAGAGUUUUCUGUCUCUUCUGUUGGAGAGUUUUGAAUUUAUAUUCAAGAGCAUGAUUUCCACAGAGAGGGAAACACACCCACCAUCUACUAAUGAGCUUAACCGGGAGCAAGAAUGCUGGAGAGCCAACUCAUUUUGUUACAGGAAUCAUUUGGACUUGGUACUGUCAAUUCAUGUCACUUAAAGCUAAACAGUGAAUAUAAUGUUAAUGUGCUCUCUCUUCUCCCAUCCGUGGUUAUGUUCAUUGCUUACUGAAUACCUAUUAUAAAUAAAGUUAUGAAUAUGUAACCUCUGGGAAAAAUUCCACAAUAAUAUUGAUCAGUUUGCAGUGUAAAUUACAUUGCUUAUAAUGGAAUACCACCAAAUUCACAAAGCAAUUGACCAGGCACUAUCAAUGACAUCUUUCCAGUACAUGCCCUCCCGUCCUUGCAUUAUGUAACACCUUUAAUGGCAUGGCUCACUGCUACAACCUUGGGGCCAUCACUCACCUCUUGUUUAUUUACUUCAUUUUAAUGAAUGCCAGAACUGAAGGGGAUUUUAUAUGUCUAGGUCUGAAAGUACUGUCCCUGCUUAAUGGAAUAAUACAAAAUCUGUACGAUUCAUGGCCCUGACUUUUAGACAGAUGAAGUAGAGUGGGGAGGAUGAAUAGAAAAUAAGUUGUUUACUUUUUUAGAACAAAGCAAAAAACAUUUUAAAAAGAAAAGACAUUAUAUCUUUCUGUUUUGCUUUGGUUUAUUUGGAAAUACCUGUUUCAAUAGUUAAACGUGCAGCAGUUAAAGCUCAUGAAAUAAAAUAUAAAACAGAAAAUGAAUGUAAACAUUUUCUGAGAACUGCUCUUUAUAGAUUUUAAUGUGAUGUUACCCUCUAUUUAAGCAUAUGCUUGUAAGUGCACUGACUCAGAGUAUAUUGGAUGUGUCAGAAUGUGGAGUUUUAAUAGCUAGGAAAAAAAUCUCAAA